UACGUAGGGUGCGAGCGUUAAUCGGAAUUACUGGGCGUAAAGCGUGCGCAGGCGGUCUGUUAAGACCGAUGUGAAAUCCCCGGGCUUAACCUGGGAACUGCAUUGGUGACUGGCAGGCUUUGAGUGUGGCAGAGGGAGGUAGAAUUCCACGUGUAGCAGUGAAAUGCGUAGAGACGUGGAGGAAUACCGAUGGCGAAGGCAGCCUCCUGGGCCAACACUGACGCUCAUGCACGAAAGCGUGGGGAGCAAACAGG
rnacentral:rRNA from 1 species